AACGAACGCUGGCGGCAGGCUUAACACAUGCAAGUCGAGCGCGUAGCAAUACGGGCGGCAGACGGGUGAGUAACGCGUGGGAAUCUACCUUUUGCUACGGAAUAACUCAGGGAAACUUGUGCUAAUACCGUAUGUGUCCUUCGGGAGAAAGAUUUAUCGGCAAGAGAUGAACCCGCUUUGGUUUAGCUAGUUGGUGAGGUAAUGGCUCACCAAUGCGACGAUCCAUAGCUGUUCUGGGAGGAUGAUCAGCCACAUUGGGACUGAGACACGGCCCAAACUCCGACGGGAGGCAGCAGUGGGGAAUAUUGGACAAUGGGCGCAAGCCUGAUCCAGCCAUGCCGCGUGAGUGAUGAAGGCCCUAGGGUUGUAAAGCCCUUUCAGCGGGGAAGAUAAUGACGGUACCCGCAGAAGAAGCCCCGGCUAACUUCGUGCCGGCCGCCGCGGUAA
rnacentral:rRNA from 1 species